UCUAGCGGCUUUCAUAUUGAUUGUCACUGUGACAAAGUACGAAAUGGGUCGGAAUUUAAAUUCCUUGACUGUACUACCCUCAUAAGCUUAAUAGUGGUAUCUCAAAAAAAAAAUAUUUUAUAAUAAAUCAUUUAAAGUAUUCAAUUAUUUUUAGAGUUAGACCAAGAAGUCUGCAGCGAUUUUGAUAGCCCACGCAAUGCAAGUGUUAUUUUAAACGUCAAACUUCUAUAAAAUGAUGACGUAUAAAUAACACUUGCACUGCGUGGGCUAUCAAAAUCGCUGCGGACUUUUCUUGGUCUAACUCUAUUUGAGAUUCCGCUACUUGGCUUAUAAGGGCAGAGUAUAUGUAAGUACGAUUAGGACGCAUUGAGUUAUGUAAAUAUUAUAUUAUUAUGAACGUCCGAAACUUCUUAUAGGCAUUUAAACUGUAAUUCCUAGUAUCUAUACAGUGGACAUGUCAAAAUAUAUUUAAUAUAAUUUGUGUAUUUAUUCUCAGUUACCACUCUGUGUUCUUACAGAUGUAGUGCAUAAUUAUUUUCCAUCGUAGUUUCACGGAAAGGUACGAACGUGUCUUGCUAUUUCAGUAAGCCUCGGUACAAAAAGUACUGAGGUUGACUGAAGACAUGAUAAAUGCGAACGUUUUCGAGAAAAUACGAUGGAGAAAUAGUAUACAAUACAACUGUAUUAUGUGUGAACUUUUGUGGUUUAUUCCUGCGCCUAUUUUACGAAAUGGCCGGAUAGCUACCACAAGUUACAUGUCUGUAGUUUUGUUUUAUAAGAAUCCCACAGUUUGUCAAAUGUAACCAAAAGGCGCCUUCAAGGAAAUUAACCCGUUACCAGGCUGACAUUUCAGAAAUGACAAUCGAAUAUCAGUCUUAUUAUCGAAAAUAGAAAGAGCCGUAUGUGGGAAAUAUAUAUCCCUUAGACUGGUAAAGGGUUAAAAAAUUAACAGUUAUAAUCUCAUUAACAAUGAUGUGAAUACAUUUCUUGUUCCUCAUGAUUAAAUAACCUUGACUGUACAUUUAUAAAAUGCAAAAUAAUGCAAGUGUUUAGAAUCCAUAUAAACUGUCAUGAGAUACUUUGUUUUACAACUUUGCCCAUCUGAAUGAUCCCGGCAAAGUUGUAACAAAAUGAAAGUUGUAUUUUUUUGAUAUGCUGGACUGUAUACUUAUUAGAAAUCUUGAAUCUAAGAGUAUGUAUCUGUUAACGUUUUAAUAAAAGAAUACGUGUUUAAA